rnacentral:misc_RNA from 1 species
ACACACACACACACACACAAAAAGAGUGAAAGCUGAUGUAAUGUGAUUGGUAGUUUGGUACCUUGACCGUCAUAUCCUUUAGGGCAGAAACUAAAACAUCAAAAACUUGAUCUCUGAUUGAGGUAUCACGGACUAAUAUCCUUGGACCAGUAACUGGAGUGAAAGGCACACAGCAUUGGAACUUUGGAUAAUAUCGAGACCCAAAACCAUAGUAGGCAUCAGCCCAUGAAUGAUCAAAAACAAAUUCACCAUAUGAGUGACUUUUAAGAUAGAGUGGAACAACACCUAAAAUAUUUUCAAUUUCAUCCUUGGCAACAAUGUGGCUAGGCAUCCAUCCUGUUUCCUGCAAUCGCUUGAAAUGAAAAAUUAGAAUAUAAGUGGAUUUUUCAAGCUUACUUUAACUGUUCAUACAGCUUAAUACCAAAUAAGAGAUGUAAAGCCAAAUAAUUCCUCUAGCAAUGAACCAAGGUUUUAAGGUCUUGAAGUGGUUCACUGUCAUGUAGCUUAGUGCUCAUAAAAGAUAGGUGUAGAAUACACUCACUUUUAGCCCCAUCAAUUCACUCAAAGAUGAAGAGAAGCAGUCCAUAUUUCAUGUAAGAUAUUACAAAUUUUCCACAAAUUGAGACCUAAUCUAGAAUUGGAAAAAGAAGUAGCGAAAUGAGAAAGAAUGGAUGUUAUCCUCAUCUGCUCCGAAUGAUAUAUAAACUAACAAUUAAUGAUAUAAACUUUGAGAAGUUUGCACAAAGCAACAAUUCUUAACCUUCACAGAACAACCUGACUCUUCUAAGCUCGAAAGAAAACCAUGGGUAAGAAAUGGAUUAAGUUUUUCAGGGCCAGUAGAAUCCAGAUUGCAUGCAUCCCAUUCAACUGGUGAGACCUUGGAGAUAGAAGAAAUCACUGAAACUGAUAUCUUUUUAGGUACCACUUGGUUUGCUGAGCCUCCCUCUGAGCCUGACCCUGUUAGAAUGAAAUCCUGUUGUGGAAAGUCUGAUAAUCUUGGCUCCACAGACUUCUUUGAUCCCCAAAAGAGUGCACUGAUUUUGCACAUCUGAUAUGAACUACUAACACUUUGCUGGGAAGAUGGUUUUCCAGAGAGAGGAGUAAAUUUGCCGAGAAAUGGCGAAGGCUUGCAGUAGCUCAGUACUGCUGCCAUGGCCACACACUGCUCCGAUUGAUUCGAUUGCUCCCU